rnacentral:rRNA from 1 species
AGCGGAGGGAUCAUUACUGAGUUUACGCUCUACAACCCUUUGUGAACAUACCUAUAACUGUUGCUUCGGCGGGUAGGGUCUCCGUGACCCUCCCGGCCUCCCGCCCCCGGGCGGGUCGGCGCCCGCCGGAGGAUAACCAAACUCUGAUUUAACGACGUUUCUUCUGAGUGGUACAAGCAAAUAAUCAAAACUUUUAACAACGGAUCUCUUGGUUCUGGCAUCGAUGAAGAACGCAGCGAAAUGCGAUAAGUAAUGUGAAUUGCAGAAUUCAGUGAAUCAUCGAAUCUUUGAACGCACAUUGCGCCCGCCAGCAUUCUGGCGGGCAUGCCUGUUCGAGCGUCAUUUCAACCCUCAAGCUCUGCUUGGUGUUGGGGCCCUACAGCUGAUGUAGGCCCUCAAAGGUAGUGGCGGACCCUCCCGGAGCCUCCUUUGCGUAGUAACUUUACGUCUCGCACUGGGAUCCGGAGGGACUCUUGCCGUAAAACCCCCAAUUUUCCAAAGGU